rnacentral:rRNA from 1 species
GUAGGGAAUCUUGCGCAAUGGGCGAAAGCCUGACGCAGCCAUGCCGCGUGAAUGAUGAAGGUCUUAGGAUUGUAAAAUUCUUUCACCGGGGACGAUAAUGACGGUACCCGGAGAAGAAGCCCCGGCUAACUUCGUGCCAGCAGCCGCGGUAAUACGAAGGGGGCUAGCGUUGCUCGGAAUUACUGGGCGUAAAGGGCGCGUAGGCGGAUCGUUAAGUCAGGGGUGAAAUCCCAGAGCUCAACUCUGGAACUGCCCUUGAUACUGGCGAGCUUGAGUGUGAGAGAGGUAUGUGGAACUCCGAGUGUAGAGGUGAAAUUCGUAGAUAUUCGGAAGAACACCAGUGGCGAAGGCGACAUACUGGCUCAUUACUGACGCUGAGGCGCGAAAGCGUGGGGAGCAAACAGGAUUAGAAACCCCUGUAGUCC